ACUUUCCUCACUAUUACCCGGAGACUGAAGACCAUUCAGAAACCAUAUCUAACUCAAAACAGCAUGGAUAGUUUUUUUCUAAGUUUGUAUGUGUGUGGAAGCACCAGAGGCACAAAAUAACACCCCAAAUCCUCAGAAAGAUUUUCUUUACAUAAUAUUUGCACUUUUAACUACUUUAAAG